rnacentral:rRNA from 1 species
GAAAGUAAAGAAGGGCGCAUGGCGGAUGCCUUGGCUCUCGGAGGCGAUGAAGGACGUGAUAAGCUGCGAUAAGCUUUGGGGAGGUGCAAAUGACCUUUGAUCCAGAGAUUUCCGAAUGGGACAACCCAAUAUCUUGAAGAGGUAUUAUCUUACUAUGUAAGAGGCUAACGCAGGGAACUGAAACAUCUUAGUACCUGCAGGAAAAGAAAAUAAACAAUGAUUCCCCCAGUAGUGGCGAGCGAACGGGGAACAGCCCAAACCAUCCAUGUUACGGCAUGGGUGGGGUUGUAGGACUACGCCGUUGCAUGAAGACAUCAGAGAAGAACUUUCUGGAAAGAAAGACCAUAGAGCAUGACAGUUGCGUAUUCGAAUGUUGUCGAAGCAUAGUAGUAUCCUGAGUAGCGCGGAGCACGAGGAAUUCUGCGUGAAUCUGCCGGGACCAUCCGGUAAGGCUAAAUACUCCCGAGAGACCGAUAGCGAACCAGUACCGUGAGGGAAAGGUGAAAAGCACUUCGAACAGAAGAGUGAAAUAGUUCCUGAAACCGUGCGCCUACAAGCGGUCGGAGCUCGUUAAUGAGUGACGGCGUGCCUUUUGCAUAAUGAACCUACGAGUUGCCUUUGCCGGCAAGGUUAAGUGUGACGACACACGUAUCCGAAGCGAAAGCGAGUCUGAACAGGGCGUAUAGUCGGCAGUGGCAGACGCGAAACCAAGUGAUCUACCCUUGGCCAGGUUGAAGGCUGGGUAACACCAGCUGGAGGACCGCACCAAUAAGCGUUGAAAAGCUUCUGGAUGAGCUGAGGGUAGGGGUGAAAGGCUAAUCAAACUUGGAGAUAGCUCGUACUCCCCGAAAUGCAUUUAGGUGCAGCCUUGCGGGUUACUGAUGUGAGGUAGAGCGACUGAUAAGAUGCGAGGGCUUCACCGCCUAUCAAGUCUUGACAAACUCCGAAUGCGCAUCAGUUCUACCGCAGGAGUGAGGGCAUGGGUGCUAAGGUCCGUGCCCGAGAGGAGAAGAAUCCGGACCACCUGCUAAGGUCCCGAAAUGACAGCUAAGUUAAACUAACGAAGUCUGACUGCUAAGACAGCUAGGAUGUUGGCUUGGAAGCAGCCAUUCAUUUAAAGAGUGCGUAACAGCUCACUAGUCGAGGAGUCGGGCGUGGAUAAUAAUCGGGUAUCAAGUUGUCUACCGAAGCAGUGGGAUCAUUAAUAUGAUCGGUAGGGGAGCAUUCCAGUCAGCGUCGAAGGCGUACCGUGAGGUAUUCUGGAGCGUCUGGAAAAGCAAAUGUAGGUAUAAGUAACGAUAAAGGGGGCGGGAAACCCCCUCGCCGAAAGACUAAGGUUUCCUGAUCAACGCUAAUCGGAUCAGGGUCAGUCGGGUCCUAAGGCUCAGCCGAACGGCGAUGCCGAUGGCAGAAACGGUUAAUAUUCCGUUACUACCUUCAGGAGUGACGUGGAGACGCAGUAGUGACAGUGCCGCCAUCUGACGGAAUAGAUGGUUGAAGGGUGUAGGAGUCGAUCAUGGCAGGCAAAUCCACCAUGAGAUCCGAACCUGACAGUAUGCCGCGUCCUUCGGGACAAGGCAAUAGUGCGCGUAAGCAUGCUGCCGAGAAAAUCCGCUAAACUUAAUCCUGCAGGUACCCGUACCGCAAACGGACACACGUAGUCGGGAUGAAUAUUCUAAGGCGCUUGAGUGAUUCACGGUUAAGGAACUAGGCAAACUGACCCUGUAACUUCGGGAUAAAGGGUCCCUACCCUUUUAUGGGAGGGCGCAGAGAAUCGGUCCAGGCAACUGUUUAACAAAAACACAGGGCUGUGCCAAAUCGAAAGAUCCAGUAUACAGCCUGACACCUGCCCGGUGCUGGAAGGUUAAGAGGAGAUGUCAUCGAUAAGAGAAGCGUUGAAUUGAAGCCCCAGUAAACGGCGGCCGUAACUAUAACGGUCCUAAGGUAGCGAAAUUCCUUGUCGGGUAAGUUCCGACCUGCACGAAUGGUGUAAUGAUCCGGACGCUGUCUCAACCAUGAGCUCAGUGAAAUUGUAGUAUCGGUGAAGAUGCCGAUUACCCGCGAUGGGACGAAAAGACCCCGUGAACCUUUACUAUAGCUUAUCAUUGAAUCUGGGCACGUGAUGUGUAGGAUAGGUCGGAGGCUUUGAAGCAGGUACGCCAGUAUUUGUGGAGCCGCUGUUGAAAUACGACCCUUUAUUUGUUUGGAUUCUAACCCGUGGAACGGGGACAUUGAUUGGUGGGUAGUUUGACUGGGGUGGUCGCCUCCAAAAGCGUAACGGAGGCUUCUAAAGGUGCCCUCCGGCCGAUUGGUAACCGGCCUUAGAGUGUAAUGGCAUAAGGGCGCUUGACUGGGAGACUAACAAGUCGAUCAGGUAGGAAACUAGAGCAUAGUGAUCCGGUGUUUCCGUAUGGAAGGGACAUCGCUCAAAGGAUAAAAGGUACUCCGGGGAUAACAGGCUGAUCCCUCCCAAGAGCUCAUAUCGACGGAGUGGUUUGGCACCUCGAUGUCGGCUCGUCACAUCCUGGGGCUGGAGAAGGUCCCAAGGGUUGGGCUGUUCGCCCAUUAAAGUGGCACGCGAGCUGGGUUCAGAACGUCGUGAGACAGUUCGGUCUCUAUCUAUCGUGGGCGUAUGAAAUUUGCGUGGCUCUGACACUAGUACGAGAGGACCGUGUUGGACAGACCUCUGGUUUGCCGGUUGUGCCGCCAGGUGCAUUGCCGGGUAUCUAAGUCUGGAUCGGAUAAGUGCUGAAAGCAUCUAAGUACGAAGCCGGCCACAAGAUUAGAUUUCUCAGGGUCGUUGUAGACUACGACGUUGAUAGGAUGCAGGUGUAAAGGUAGAGAUACCAAAGCCGAGCAUUACUAAUUGCCCGUUCACUUUCCUUA